rnacentral:misc_RNA from 1 species
GAGUAUUUCUAAACCAAAGUUGAAGACCUUUAAAGGAUAGCAAUCCAUUGCCUUACCCAGAAAGGAUAUUUUCAUCAUCUUAAAAGAGUGUUUUUUUUUCUUCUUUUUUUUAGUAAUAAUACUUAACGGUAACUUGUAAUGUUUGAUAAAAUGAAGUUUAUAGCGGACGAAUAACUAUUAUAAUACCCAUUUGAUUUUAUUUUUUAUUUAGUUUAUAUUAAAUUUUUUUAUUUAACUUAAA